rnacentral:tRNA from 1 species
GGGCAGGUGGCCGAGUGGUUAAAGGCGCCAGACUGUAAAUCUGGUCUCGUACGAGUACGGAGGUUCAAAUCCUUCCCUGCCCA